UGCCAGACUCCUACGGGAGGCAGCAGUGGGGAAUAUUGCACAAUGGGGGGAACCCUGAUGCAGCGACGCCGCGUGAGUGAAGAAGUAUUUCGGUACGUAAAGCUCUAUCAGCAGGGAAGAAAAAAGGACGGUACCUGAAUAAGAAGCCCCGGCUAACUACGUGCCUGCAGCCGCGGUAAUACGUAGGGGGCAAGCGUUAUCCGGAUUUAUUGGGUGUAAAGGGUGCGUAGACGGAGAAGCAAGUUAGUUGUGAAAUCCCUCGGCUUAACUGAGGAACUGCAACUAAAACUACUUCCCUUGAGUACUGGAGAGGAAAGUGGAAUUCCUAGUGUAGCGGUGAAAUGCGUAGAUAUUAGGAGGAACACCAGUGGCGAAGGCGACUUUCUGGACAGUAACUGACGUUGAGGCACGAAAGUGUGGGGAGCAAACAGGAUUAGAUACCCGAGUA
rnacentral:rRNA from 1 species